UCUGUCCGCAACCAUAAGUUUCCGCGUCUAAUUUUGAUCGUCCGUCUUAUUUAAAAUUGUUUUAUAAUUAGUAUUUUUAUUGUCAUGAGAUGAUAAAACAUGAAUAGUACUUUAUACGUGACUUAUGUUUUUAAUUUUUUUUCAAAAUAUUUUUAAAUAAGAUGGAUGAUUAAAGUUGUUCAUGGAAAAUUAUGGCUGCACUUAAA
rfam:Oryza sativa Japonica Group DNA, chromosome 10, cultivar: Nipponbare, complete sequence.